rnacentral:rRNA from 1 species
AUGAGGAGGUUUUUGGUUAAGAGAGCAAGGACUGAAAAUAUGAAUGGUGUGCAACCUGAAGUAGAAGUAGAGCAAAGGACUGAAAAUGUGAAUGAUGCGCAGCCUGAAAUAGAAGUAGAGCCACCAGCGCCAAACGUUGCCAAUGAAUUUAAUCCAAAUGUGAUUGAGCGCGAUCCGGGAAAGAGGAAACAAAUUUGUGAGUAUCCUCCUGAUAUUCAAGACCAAGUGAGGAGAGCAUAUAUAUUGAAGGGUCCAAUGCAACCAGAUUUGAAUAAAUACCAUCGUACUGAAUUUGGAAGUUCGCGUUCCUCAAGAGCAUUUUCCAAAUCUUGGUAUAAAAGGUACGACUGGAUAGAAUACAAUGAGUGGAAGAAUGCAACUUAUUGUUUUUAUUGUUUUCUCUUUAAGCAACCCGGAAGGCCUGAGCACUUUGGUUAUGAAGUCUUCACCAAAGAAGGAUUUACAGAUUGGAAGCAUGCAUCUAAAGGCUUCAAAGAUCAUAUUGGUGGUCAUGGUAGUAAGCACAACUCUUCCGUCAAGCAUUAUGAUGAUUAUAAUAAUCAAAGACAAAGUGUGGCAAGUAACUUUGCUAGAUCAAGCAAGGAAUCAGAAGAAAUGUAUAAGAUUCGUUUAACUUGUUCUGUAAGUUGUUCAAGAUAUCUUAUUGCACAAGACUUGGCAUUUCAUGGACAUGAUGAAUCAGCUACUUCUCUAAACAAGGGAAACUUUAGAGAGAUGAUAGAUUUGGAAAAAAACUAA